rnacentral:rRNA from 1 species
GACGAACCGUCCUAACGUUGUUCGGAAUCACUGGGCUUAAAGGGCGCGUAGGCGGCCUUGAAAGUCGGGGGUGAAAUCCCACGGCCUAACCGUGGAAGUGCCUCCGAUACUGCAAGGCUCGAGGGAGGUAGGGGCAGCUGGAACUUCCGGGUGGAGCGGUGAAAUGCGUUGAUAUCGGAAGGAACGCCGGUGGCGAAAGCGAGCUGCGUGGAC